rnacentral:rRNA from 1 species
UACGGGGGGGGCAAGCGUUGUUCGGAAUUACUGGGCGUAAAGGGCUCGUAGGCGGCCAACUAAGUCAGACGUGAAAUCCCUCGGCUUAACCGGGGAACUGCGUCUGAUACUGGAUGGCUUGAGUCCGGGAGAGGGAUGCGGAAUUCCAGGUGUAGCGGUGAAAUGCGUAGAUAUCUGGAGGAACACCGGUGGCGAAGGCGGCAUCCUGGCCCGGCCCUGACGCUGAUGAGCGAAAGCCAGGGGAGCAAACGGG